rfam:Bacteroidetes bacterium RIFOXYA12_FTLL_38_20 rifixya3_full_scaffold_221, whole genome shotgun sequence.
CCCAAGGCGCUGCCUUGGGCUGAAUUGAGCCGCCCUUUCAGGGCU